rnacentral:lncRNA from 1 species
CCGCAUCUUCAGCACAAAUGCGAUAAGAGUUACAACAAGAGUUCAACAAACAAAAUAACAAGACUAACCAAUGCCUAGACAAGCAAGAGGAUAUGUUAGCCAACUAUGAACUCCUAAAACAUGAACAACAUUCGCCGCCUUCAUCCACCAGUAGGAAUGAAUUUUCACUUUUUCCAACACAAAGAAGCCACAUGAGUUGUAUAAAAGAUCUUUUAGUUGUCGGUCCGCCUAUCAAAUGAGAAAACUAGAGAAAAUGGUCAGCAGUCAGCACCAUCAAACGGAUCAGCCCCAGAGACCACAAUCCAACGACAAACUAAAUGCCACUGAAAAUAGUACAAGAAAAAAAAAAGAUUAACUUUUUCCACUUCACCGCAGCCGGUCACACACAUUUGCGCCUCCUGAGAGAGAAUCCCACGAGCCACAAGAUUCGCUUUGGUUGGCAACCUGUUGCGGAGAAGUCUCCAAGAAAAAAUAGACACCUUAACUGGGACAUGUCGGUGCCAUAUCAUAUCUGAUACCACAUUCACAACCUGACUGUCAUCUGAUGUGAGCAUAUGGUAAGUGCUACGCACAGAGUAAACAUCACUAUCCUCAAGCCUUCACCUCCACUGAUCAGAGAGCUGAACUUGCCAAGUAACAUCAGAUAACAACAGCCUACACUUCCUUAACAGCUCCUCCUCCCACUCCCACAAUCUCCGCCUCCACUGCCACACUACUCCUCCUCUUCCCAGCCUGACGCAUGCAUAUCCCACACUGAACUCAACUUAUUGACACUUAACUCAUACAAGCGUCUAAACUGCACCACCAACAAAAUACCAUCCAACCACUGAUCAGUCCAAACAAAUGUAUCAUUCUUUUUAAUUCAAUGGUCCUUUAUGUUAUUUAAUUAUAUUAGAUUGUCUUUUAUCAUUCUUUUUUCUCAUGUGUGUCUUUUAUCAUUACAAACACGCACAAGUUUAUCUCUUUAUGUUUUUUCUUCAUUUUUAUUAGAAAACUGAUGAGGUGGUGGUAAGUCACAUAGGAUAGUUUGCUAUAAUUUUUUUAUGUUGAAAGUAAUAAAACCCAUAACUAUCCUACAUAAAUUGACAUCAGACAAUUGAAUUAAAACUUGAGGAGGAAUACAAUCUAAG